UCUCCUCUCUUAGAUAUAUAUGAGUUUUUUCGAAUCACUCAAGUGGAUCUAAAGACGACAUUCUUCACAUCUUUGGAUGCACACGCCUCACACCUGAGGCGUGUGCCUCAGGUGUUACAGAACACGUAGCGGGACUCUAGGAAAGGACUUAAAGGCCCUCCUUGACAACCUCGAUGAACAGACAACCGAUGUGCUUGCACAAAGGAAGGCCACAGCUCUCCGAGGUCUACCUCUCUAUUUGAGGGAGAAUCCAGAUGACGUCCUGAAGACAUGUCUGGAUACAGACUCGGAGGAAACGUCCGUUGCAGGGGUUCAACUUGGCAUAGUCACCACUGUUGAAGAUGAUGUUGGGAGUGCUCACUCAAUGCCCAGAACAAUCAACAUUGCCCUUGUCAUCGAGGAAAAGGUUGUUGUGGAUGACAUCUCUGACAUCAGUACAGCAAUUGUCCUUCUUUUUGGAUGCAUCUACAACCUCAACCUGGACUACCCCAAAGGGUUGAAGUACACUUUUGAGGCCCUUCAAAAGAUUUUUAUGAAACUUGGCACAGAGUGUUCUGCCCGUGUUCAGGCUCUGAAAAACCACUUGUUAAAGUAGCCCGCUACCAUGAACACAUAGACAUGUGUUCAAUGGACAUAUUUGCGCACAUUGACAUGUCACUUUCUUCAUCAAAACAUGUUUUUAAGUUCAGUGAUAACUACACAAGUUUGUGUAGUGUUACCAAUCACGUGUUCCUAUUUGUAAUAAGUAUUUGCUCUCAGCUGGAUUUGGUUAUCCAAAGACCGAAACUGAACAAGUUUGUCGCGUUACACGUUUUUCAUGGAAGCAAUUUCUUCACUGCUGGGUUUGCCCAGUGGUUUCCUCAGGUAUCAGUGACUAACAAAUUAGGUGAUUCUUAGUACAAUACAUUUCACCAGACUUUUUUUUUUAUAUUCGAUUUUUGAACCUCUGCACAGAGUGCUCUACCCGUGUUCAGGCGCUGAAAACAAACUUGUUAAAGAAGCCUGCUACCAUGAACACUCGCGCACAUAGACAUGUCACUUUCUUCAUCAAAAUAUGCUUUUAAGUUCAGUAGUAACAACACAAGUUUGUUUAGUGUUGUUAUGAAUCCCAUGUUACCAUUUGAAGUUAGUGUUUACGAACUGCUGGAUUUGGUUAUCUCUGCAACUAAACACGUUUGUAACCGGUAAUUAUGGAUGCACUUUCUAUAGACAUGUCACUUUAUUCCUCAAAAUAUGUUUUUAAGUUCAGUAGUAGCUACACAAGUUUGUGUAGUGUUGCUACGAAUGCUAUGUUCCCAUUUGAAGUUAGUUUACUAACUGCUAGAUUUGGUUAUCUCUGCAACUAAACACGUUUGUGUCUUGUAACAGGUCAUUAUGGAUGCACUUUCUGUAGACAUGUCACUUUAUUUCUCAAAAUAUGUUUUUAAGUUCAGUAGUAGCUACACAAGUUUGUGUAGUGUUGUUACGAAUCCCAUGUUCACAUUUGAAGUUAAUGUUUACUAACUGCUUGAUUUGGUUAUCUCUGCAACUAAACACAUUUGUGUCUUGUUUCAAGUUUUUUUUAUGGAUGCACUUUCUUCACUGCUGGGUUUGGCCAGUGGUUACCUCAAGUAUCUGACUGACAAAUGAUGGUUGAUUCAUAGUGUCAAUCAUACUGUUUUCUAUAUUAUAGCUAAAGUAUUGAGAGCUGGUUCUGCACUUUGUGUUUACAUAUUCUAUCUUUGAAAAUAAGUGUACAAUGUUACCAAGUUCACUUAAGCAUCCCUGCUGCUGCAAUUUCAAUGUUGCCUUUUUUGUAGUUAUUGGAUGUUUAUAAUG